rnacentral:misc_RNA from 1 species
UCCGUAUUACUACGGCAGUUUCGCUAGAGUGAUACAACUAGCAAUAGGGGUUGCGCUCGUUAACCCACUUAAGGGUACGCCUCACAGCACGAGCUGACGACAGCCAUGCAACACCUGUGCAAGCUUCAAAUUUCUUUGAUCGUUCCGCUUUCGCUUCACUACUACUUGCAUGUCAAACCCUGGUAAGGUUCUUGGGUUAGCAGCCAAUUAAAGAGCAUGCUCCACCGCUUGUGCGGGUCCCCGCCAAUUCCUUUGAGUUUUAGCCUUGCGGCCGUACUACCCAGGCGGUCUGCUUAACGCGUUAGCUUCGACACCCACAAAAGCAGGCAUCUAGCAGACAUAGUUUACGGCGUGGAGUAC